rnacentral:lncRNA from 1 species
UCUCGUAGAAGGCCUAUCGAGUAAAUAGAACUCAGCCUAAUUGAUUUGAAGAGGGAAUAUGUAUAGGUCGACUUGGGAAAAAAAAAAGCAAGAAGGAGGAGACCUUAGACCAAGAAAAGACAUUCACAAACACUGCUUUCCGGCGCAAGAACUAGAUUUUCACCUUUUCUUGUUCUUGUCGAAUUCAUUAAGUUUUUUAUGAUUCCAAUGUCUUUUCUUGUAAUUGAUUUAUUGUAUUUUUACCUUUUUUAACAAUCAUUUUCAUUAUAUUUGUGUUCAUUUAGAUUGUAUUUAAGAGUCUAUAUUGCAUUUUCAUAUGAAUUUAUGUUAUUUCAGGUUUUUGAGAGACCAUAUGCAGUUUGAAGCGGUUCUGUCGAUUUUGGAGAGGAUUAAGCCAUAAAAGUUCAACAAACAGCUUGGCUGAAGGUCUUAAAGAUAUAUUUCGAAGCUUAUAUUUAGCCACAAUAUAUAAAAUUGACUCAUCUUUCAGAUGGAAGUGGUCUCAAUCAAUUGAAGCUAUAUUCUAAGAGAUGUGGCCAAAUUACUGAAUUUAUGCUGCAAAGAAUGAAUGACCGCAGACAGAAAUCACAGACCGAACCCAUCCAUGAAAUCAAGGCAGGACGACUUUUGGAGAAGUAUCUCACCGCAGACGAAGCCCGUUUGUGGUCUACAUCAAUAGUAGUUUUUUAUCUAUUUUCUUUUGGGUUGACUCAAGCUUGUUGGGUUGACCGGAUUUAUUUUAAGGCCUAUAGAAGAGCAUUUUAGGGGGAAAUAAACCCUAAGUUACCUGAGCAUAGUUGCUCCUUAGUUUUGUCUUAAUAUUAAACCUUAAACUUGUGAAUCUUGCUUUUGUUUAAGAAUUUCUUUUGUUUAUCUUGUUUACAUCUCUCUGAACUCUUUAUUAUGCAUUUAUUUAUCA